UACGUAGGGGGCAAGCGUUGUCCGGAAUCAUUGGGCGUAAAGAGCGUGUAGGCGGCUCGGUAAGUCCGCUGUGAAAGUCCAGGGCUCAACCCUGGAAUGCCGGUGGAAACUGUCGAGCUAGAGUCCGGAAGAGGCGAAGUGGAAUCCUGGUGUAGCGGUGAAAUGCGCAGGAUAAUCAGGAGGAACACCAAUGGCGAAGGCAGACUCGCUGGGACGGUACUGACGCUGAGACGCGAAGCGUGGGGAGCAAACAGG
rnacentral:rRNA from 1 species